rnacentral:rRNA from 1 species
AGAUUGAACGCUAGCGGGAUGCUUUACACAUGCAAGUCGAACGGCAGCGCGGACUUCGGUCUGGCGGCGAGUGGCGAACGGGUGAGUAAUAUAUCGGAACGUGCCCAGUCGUGGGGGAUAACGCAGUGAAAGCUGUGCUAAUACCGCAUACGAUCUAUGGAUGAAAGCGGGGGACUCGCAAGAGCCCUCGCGCGUAGUUGGACGGCC